UCCAGUUCUCCUUCACGCAGUGGCAGGUGCAGGAAAUGGAGGCCGUUUUCCAAGAGACCCAGUACCCGGAUGUGCUCACAAGGAGGGUGCUUGCCAGGAACAUGAAUGUGCCUGAAGACAAAAUACAGAAUUGGUUUAACAACAGGCGAGCCAAACAGAGGGCCAGAGAGAAGAAAGCAAUGAUCAGGAGGGCGCC